rnacentral:rRNA from 1 species
CCGCACGGGUGAGUAACACGUAUCCAACCUGCCGUCUACUCUUGGACAGCCUUCUGAAAGGAAGAUUAAUACAAGAUGGCAUCAUGAGUCCGCAUGUUCACAUGAUUAAAGGUAUUCCGGUAGACGAUGGGGAUGCGUUCCAUUAGAUAGUAGGCGGGGUAACGGCCCACCUAGUCUUCGAUGGAUAGGGGUUCUGGGAGGAAGGUCCCCCACAUUGGAACUGAGACACGGUCCAA